rnacentral:rRNA from 1 species
GACAGGGGAUGCAAGCGUUAUCCGGAAUGAUUGGGCGUAAAGCGUCUGUAGGUUGCUUUCUAAGUCCAUUGUUAAAUCCCAGGGCUUAACCCUGGACAGGCGAUGGAUACUAUUAAGCUAGAGUACGGUAGGGGCAGGGGGAAUUUCCGGUGGAGCGGUGAAAUGCGUAGAUAUCGGAAAGAACACCAAAAGCGAAGGCACUCUGCUGGGCCGAAACUGACACUGAGAGACGAAAGCUAGGGGAGCGAAUGGG